rnacentral:rRNA from 1 species
GAACUCUUCGGAGGGAAGGCAGUGGAAUGAGCGGCGGACGGGUGAGUAACACGUAAGGAACCUGCCUCAAGGAUUGGGAUAACUCCGAGAAAUCGGAGCUAAUACCGGAUAGUUCAACGGACCGCAUGGUCCGCUGAUGAAAGGCGCUUCGGCGUCACCUUGAGAUGGCCUUGCGGUGCAUUAGCUAGUUGGUGAGGUAACGGCCCACCAAGGCGACGAUGCAUAGCCGACCUGAGAGGGUGAUCGGCCACACUGGGACUGAGACACGGCCCAGACUCCUACGGGAGGCAGCAGUAGGGAAUCUUCCACAAUGGACGAAAGUCUGAUGGAGCAACGCCGCGUGAGUGAUGAAGGUUUUCGGAUCGUAAAACUCUGUUGUAAGGGAAGAACACGUACGAGAGGUAAUGCUCGUACCUUGACGGUACCUUACGAGAAAGCCACGGCUAACUACGUGCCAGCAGCCGCGGUAAUACGUAGGUGGCAAGCGUUGUCCGGAAUUAUUGGGCGUAAAGCGCGCGCAGGCGGCCUUUUAAGUCUGAUGUGAAAGCCCCCGGCUCAACCGGGGAGGGCCAUUGGAAACUGGAAGGCUUGAGUACAGAAGAGAAGAGUGGAAUUCCACGUGUAGCGGUGAAAUGCGUAGAGAUGUGGAGGAACACCAGUGGCGAAGGCGACUCUUUGGUCUGUAACUGACGCUGAGGCG